rnacentral:tRNA from 1 species
AUUUAAGUAGUUUAUAAAAAUAUUGAUUUGUGGAGUCAAAGAUAUGAGUAAUCAUUUUAAGUA